GGGUAAGUGGAAAGGUGGUGGACCGCAGAACAUGUGCUGAGUUCGUGCCAUAUGUCUGCUGACCAUCACCUUUAGGAGCCC
ensembl:miRNA